rnacentral:rRNA from 1 species
CUGGCUCAGGACGAACGCUGGCGGCGUGCUUAACACAUGCAAGUCGAACGAUGAUGCCCAGCUUGCUGGGUGGAUUAGUGGCGAACGGGUGAGUAACACGUGAGUAACCUGCCCCUGACUCUGGGAUAAGCGUUGGAAACGACGUCU